rnacentral:rRNA from 1 species
UUAAGCGACUAAGCGUACACGGUGGAUGCCCUGGCAGUCAGAGGCGAUGAAGGACGUGCUAAUCUGCGAUAAGCGUCGGUAAGGUGAUAUGAACCGUUAUAACCGGCGAUUUCCGAAUGGGGAAACCCAGUGUGUUUCGACACACUAUCAUUAACUGAAUCCAUAGGUUAAUGAGGCGAACCGGGGGAACUGAAACAUCUAAGUACCCCGAGGAAAAGAAAUCAACCGAGAUUCCCCCAGUAGCGGCGAGCGAACGGGGAGCAGCCCAGAGCCUGAAUCAGUGUGUGUGUUAGUGGAAGCGUCUGGAAAGGCGUGCGAUACAGGGUGACAGCCCCGUACACAAAAAUGCACAUAUUGUGAGCUCGAUGAGUAGGGCGGGACACGUGGUAUCCUGUCUGAAUAUGGGGGGACCAUCCUCCAAGGCUAAAUACUCCUGACUGACCGAUAGUGAACCAGUACCGUGAGGGAAAGGCGAAAAGAACCCCGGCGAGGGGAGUGAAAAAGAACCUGAAACCGUGUACGUACAAGCAGUGGGAGCACGCUUAGGCGUGUGACUGCGUACCUUUUGUAUAAUGGGUCAGCGACUUAUAUUCUGUAGCAAGGUUAACCGAAUAGGGGAGCCGAAGGGAAACCGAGUCUUAACUGGGCGUUAAGUUGCAGGGUAUAGACCCGAAACCCGGUGAUCUAGCCAUGGGCAGGUUGAAGGUUGGGUAACACUAACUGGAGGACCGAACCGACUAAUGUUGAAAAAUUAGCGGAUGACUUGUGGCUGGGGGUGAAAGGCCAAUCAAACCGGGAGAUAGCUGGUUCUCCCCGAAAGCUAUUUAGGUAGCGCCUCGUGAAUUCAUCUCCGGGGGUAGAGCACUGUUUCGGCAAGGGGGUCAUCCCGACUUACCAACCCGAUGCAAACUGCGAAUACCGGAGAAUGUUAUCACGGGAGACACACGGCGGGUGCUAACGUCCGUCGUGAAGAGGGAAACAACCCAGACCGCCAGCUAAGGUCCCAAAGUCAUGGUUAAGUGGGAAACGAUGUGGGAAGGCCCAGACAGCCAGGAUGUUGGCUUAGAAGCAGCCAUCAUUUAAAGAAAGCGUAAUAGCUCACUGGUCGAGUCGGCCUGCGCGGAAGAUGUAACGGGGCUAAACCAUGCACCGAAGCUGCGGCAGCGACGCUUAUGCGUUGUUGGGUAGGGGAGCGUUCUGUAAGCCUGUGAAGGUGUACUGUGAGGUAUGCUGGAGGUAUCAGAAGUGCGAAUGCUGACAUAAGUAACGAUAAAGCGGGUGAAAAGCCCGCUCGCCGGAAGACCAAGGGUUCCUGUCCAACGUUAAUCGGGGCAGGGUGAGUCGACCCCUAAGGCGAGGCCGAAAGGCGUAGUCGAUGGGAAACAGGUUAAUAUUCCUGUACUUGGUGUUACUGCGAAGGGGGGACGGAGAAGGCUAUGUUGGCCGGGCGACGGUUGUCCCGGUUUAAGCGUGUAGGCUGGUUUUCCAGGCAAAUCCGGAAAAUCAAGGCUGAGGCGUGAUGACGAGGCACUACGGUGCUGAAGCAACAAAUGCCCUGCUUCCAGGAAAAGCCUCUAAGCAUCAGGUAACAUCAAAUCGUACCCCAAACCGACACAGGUGGUCAGGUAGAGAAUACCAAGGCGCUUGAGAGAACUCGGGUGAAGGAACUAGGCAAAAUGGUGCCGUAACUUCGGGAGAAGGCACGCUGAUAUGUAGGUGAAGUCCCUCGCGGAUGGAGCUGAAAUCAGUCGAAGAUACCAGCUGGCUGCAACUGUUUAUUAAAAACACAGCACUGUGCAAACACGAAAGUGGACGUAUACGGUGUGACGCCUGCCCGGUGCCGGAAGGUUAAUUGAUGGGGUUAGCGCAAGCGAAGCUCUUGAUCGAAGCCCCGGUAAACGGCGGCCGUAACUAUAACGGUCCUAAGGUAGCGAAAUUCCUUGUCGGGUAAGUUCCGACCUGCACGAAUGGCGUAAUGAUGGCCAGGCUGUCUCCACCCGAGACUCAGUGAAAUUGAACUCGCUGUGAAGAUGCAGUGUACCCGCGGCAAGACGGAAAGACCCCGUGAACCUUUACUAUAG